AUUUUUGUGAUCUAGUUUAGAUGGGCAAAUUCCAAUACUGUUUUUCCCCACAAGGAUGCCUUCCACUAGCUAGGAAGUUCACCAUCCAUCACUGGGUCUUGAUAAAACUAAGAUAGUUGGACUAGAUAAUCACCAAGUUCGUUUCCAGCUCUAGCAUCAUAUCCUCAGGUGCUCUGGUACAUAAAUUAGUAAUUCAACAGGGGGCACAGUGACUCCCAGCUCUGGGUCAACGCCACAUCUUGGAGCAUGGAGGAAUCAUGGUGAUGGGCAUAGCACAAGCUGGCUGAAACAAUUCUGCUGAUGGUGAAAGGUCCUGGCAGAGUCCAUGCAGGAUUGGAGACCUAUAGGAUGAGUGGAUGCCAACUAGAUUCAUCCAUUCACAUUGGCAAAGUGCUGUUGGGUAAAAACAUGGUGCACAGAACUCUGACAGCC
rnacentral:lncRNA from 1 species